GGGGGACAACGUUUCGAAAGGAACGCUAAUACCGCAUACGUCCUACGGGAGAAAGCAGGGGACCUUCGGGCCUUGCGCUAUCAGAUGAGCCUAGGUCGGAUUAGCUAGUUGGUGAGGUAAUGGCUCACCAAGGCGACGAUCCGUAACUGGUCUGAGAGGAUGAUCAGUCACACUGGAACUGAGACACGGUCCAGACUCCUACGGGAGGCAGCAGUGGGGAAUAUUGGACAAUGGGCGAAAGCCUGAUCCAGCCAUGCCGCGUGUGUGAAGAAGGUCUUCGGAUUGUAAAGCACUUUAAGUUGGGAGGAAGGGUUGUAGAUUAAUACUCUGCAAUUUUGACGUUACCGACAGAAUAAGCACCGGCUAACUCUGUGCCAGCAGCCGCGGUAAUACAGAGGGUGCAAGCGUUAAUCGGAAUUACUGGGCGUAAAGCGCGCGUAGGUGGUUUGUUAAGUUGGAUGUGAAAUCCCCGGGCUCAACCUGGGAACUGCAUCCAAAACUGGCAAGCUAGAGUAUGGUAGAGGGUGGUGGAAUUUCCUGUGUAGCGGUGAAAUGCGUAGAUAUAGGAAGGAACACCAGUGGCGAAGGCGACCACCUGGACUGAUACUGACACUGAGGU
rnacentral:rRNA from 1 species